CUAUUUAGGUAGCGCCUCGUGAAUUCAUCUCCGGGGGUAGAGCACUGUUUCGGCUAGGGGGCCAUCCCGGCUUACCAACCCGAUGCAAACUGCGAAUACCGGAGAAUGUUAUCACGGGAGACACACGGCGGGUGCUAACGUCCGUCGUGAAGAGGGAAACAACCCAGACCGCCAGCUAAGGUCCCAAAGUCAUGGUUAAGUGGGAAACGAUGUGGGAAGGCCCAGACAGCCAGGAUGUUGGCUUAGAAGCAGCCAUCAUUUAAAGAAAGCGUAAUAGCUCACUGGUCGAGUCGGCCUGCGCGGAAGAUGUAACGGGGCUAAACCAUGCACCGAAGCUGCGGCAGCGACGCUGAUGCGUUGUUGGGUAGGGGAGCGUUCUGUAAGCCUG
rnacentral:rRNA from 1 species